GUCACACGUGUAUGUCAUGGUCUUGCUGUGGAAAUACUUAUUUCUCCUUGCAGCAUUGAACUUUUUCAAAGCUUCCUGAUUUGUUACAAAGUUGUGGCGGUAUAUUUUUACUGUCUCAGAAUGUUUUGAAUGUGUUGGUAAACGGCGUGUUUGGUGUGGAGUAGAAUGCAUUUUAAAUAGCUGCAUUAAACAGUAACGUUAAUGUGACUAACAUUAGGUUGAGCCAGAGCUGCUAUAACUUCCUCAAGUUGAUCUUCUGCAGUUGUUGUAUGAUCGUUUGAAGUAAUUAGACAAUUAAUUUAUGACACACAUCUGCAUUUGUCGUCUUGUCUCGGAUCAAAUCAUGGUUGUAAAGAAGAAAGCAAUCAAGCAAGUGGAGGCUGUCGCAUUGAAUGAUGUCAAGCUGGAGAUCCUGACAGUGCACAAGGUAGUGGUCCAGAUUGGCUGCAGGAGCAGACUGUUGGAUGUCUCUCUGAGAGCCUGUCUGUCCUCUAUGAGCACUGAUCACUAAUCGCACUUAACAGAAAGCAUUACUUCCUGUCUGGAUAGCUUUAAGAUAGAGACCUCUGCUGGCCUCCGGAGAGUCCUGCAGGAGAUUCAACCUCGCUACACAAAUGACUUUUUCCACUAGAGCCAGAGAGCUGGACCUCAGUGGAAGCAAGCCGUGACAGUGAGCAGAAAGAGCCAGAGAAUGCAGUUUAUAAACCACAAUCCUCUAAUAGCGGUGAAAGCACAGUUGCCCACUAGUAUUUUAGAUACAGAAUAGAUAGUUCCACCACCUUAUUGUCCUUUACCGUAGUAUCUGUCUCAAGAUUUCACACAUUCAGGCACUUCAUCAAUACUUUAGCAUGAUGUCUUUAGUAAUUGCACUCAUAUUCUAAACCUUACACUUUUAGUGGACCCAGAAUUGAUCUGAAAGGAUUGCUGUAAUACAUGUUCUGUCCACGAGAGGGCGACAUUUGAUCAGUGUUUUCUGAGUUGCUUUGGAAGAGUGUGUUUAUGUUGUCUAGGUGGCCGUGAUGGACAGGCCAAUCGAGUCACCGCUCAGAAGUUGCUGGAGGGCCAUGAACGAUGUGUUCAUGUUGCUGGGGCAUCUGUGUCUUUCACACACGCUGACGACAGAGGACCAGGUCUGAGCAUCCUGAGCUCUUUGUAUCGAGACACACGUCUGUGGGAGGACAUGAGUGCUGCUGUCCUGGGUUUCACUUCUCCUGUGUGGGCCGAUGACUGAGUGAGAGUUUUUCACUCGUUUUCCUGCCCUCUGUCCCUUCCUCCUCCGUAAGCUGCAGGAAGUUGCAGCCUCUGUGAACAGUGAUUCAGUGUGUUCUUGUUGUUGUUGGUUUUGGGUCGUCUCUACCCGUCUCCUAUGGAUGGUUCAUCAUCUUCUCUGGGAUUAGCUCCUUUAAUGCCCUUAAUCACCAGGUAGGUGUAGACAUGUAGAUUACCUUAGUGCAGUGCUGACCAAAAGAUGAGCUGCACUGAAUGUGUUAUCUUUGGAUUUGAUUCAUCUGAGUAUUUCUUAGCCCUGUAGUCUCACAGGCCACUCGCUUUGCAUGUCUCUCUAUCCGUUAACUCAGCCAGUCCAUUCCUGCAAUAGACUUUUUUUCCACAGCCUCCACAUUUUUUCUUCUCUAACACUUUGUAAUGCUUGAGACGUGCAGCUACUGUUGCUGUUCCCGUUCACACACUUUUUUUUCAUUGUUUAGAUUUAGAGUAGGAAAAAUAUUUUUGGAACACGUUC